GACCUGUUAGCUCAGUUGGCAGAGCACCUGCCUUUUAAGCAGGGUGUCCGGAGUUCGAAUCUCCGACAGGUCACCA
rnacentral:tRNA from 1 species